UACGUAGGGGGCAAGCGUUGUCCGGAUUUAUUGGGCGUAAAGAGCGUGUAGGCGGCCAGACAGGUCCGUUGUGAAAACUCGAGGCUCAACCUCGAGACGCCGAUGGAAACCGUUCGGCUAGAGUCCGGAAGAGGAGAGUGGAAUUCCUGGUGUAGCGGUGAAAUGCGCAGAUAUCAGGAAGAACACCCGUGGCUAAGGCGGCUCUCUAGUACGGUACUGACGCUGAGACGCGAAAGCGUGGGGAGCGAACAGG
rnacentral:rRNA from 1 species